rnacentral:rRNA from 1 species
UACAUAGGGCGCAAGCGUUGUCCGGAUUUAUUGGGCGUAAAGAGCUCGUAGGCGGUUUGUCGCGUCUUCCGUGAAAACUGGGGGCUUAACUUCCAGCUUGCGGUGGAUACGGGCUGACUGGAGUGCGGCAGGGGAGACUGGAAUUCCUGGUGUAGCGGUGAAAUGCGCAGAUAUCAGGAGGAACACCAGUGGCGAAGGCGGGUCUCUGGGCCGUUACUGACGCUGAGGAGCGAAAGCGUGGGGAGCGAACAGG